AGCGUCCUACGGGAGGCAGCAGUGGGGAAUAUUGCACAAUGGGGGGAACCCUGAUGCAGCAAUGCCGCGUGGGUGAAGAAGCACUCCGGUGCGUAAAGCCCUGUCAGCAGGGAAGAAAAUGACAGUACCUGGACAAGAAGCCCCGGCUAACUACGUGCCAACAGCCGCGGUAAUACGUAGGGGGCAAGCGUUAUCCGGAUUUACUGGGUGUAAAGGGAGCGCAGGCGGCGUGGCAAGUCAGAUGUGAAAACCCGGGGCCCAACCCCGGGAGUGCAUUUGAAACUGCCAUGCUGGAGUGACGGCGG
rnacentral:rRNA from 1 species